rnacentral:rRNA from 1 species
UAUUUGUUUCCUAAAACUUACUACUACUUAUUGUUUUAUUUAAAUCCCCUGUUUAUAUAUAGAUUUAACUCAAAAUAGAGCCAAAGCCAGAUUCAAACUUUCCCUAA